AAAGCAGACUGCUCUUUUAGUGUGUCAUUUGGUAUAAAUGUCAUUAUCCUACUUAAAUAAAAGCUCUGAUGAUCAUUAUUUCUUUUGCCUUUAUGAGGUUAAAAUUGUAACAGCUGGAAAUAAAG
rnacentral:snoRNA from 1 species